rnacentral:rRNA from 1 species
CAGGCUGCAACUCGCCUGCAUGAAGUCGGAAUUGCUAGUAAUCGUAGGUCAGCAUACUACGGUGAAUACGUUCCCGGGCCUUGUACACACCGCCCGUCAAACCAUGAGAGUUGGCAACACCCGAAGUCGGUAGUCUAACCGCAAGGAGGACGCCGCCGAAGGUGGGGUCGAUGAUUAGGGUUAAGUCGUAACAAGGUAAC